GGACGUGUGCCCGAAUAUAGCCAAAGGAUUACUUUGAUAGAGUAAACAAUAGAGGUUAAAAUCCUCUCACUUCC
rnacentral:tRNA from 1 species